AUGUCUGUGUGUGUGUGUGUGUAUGUCAGUGUGUCUGUGUGUGUAUGCCAGUAUGUCUGUCAUAGACACACACAGACAUACUGACAUACAUACACAAACAGACAU
rnacentral:miRNA from 1 species